GAUGAAGAACGUAGCGAAAUGCGAUACGUAAUGUGAAUUGCAGAAUUCAGUGAAUCAUCGAAUCUUUGAACGCAUAUUGCGCUCUUUGGUAUUCCGAAGAGCAUGCUUGUUUGAGUAUCAGUAAACACCUCAAAGACUUCAAUUUGUUUUGAAUGGCUUUGGACUUGAGCAAUCCCAACACCAGUCUUUACGAUCGGUGGAGGGUUGCUUGAAAUGCAGGUGCAGCUGGACAUUCUCCUGAGCUAAAAGCAUAUUUAUUUAGUCCCGUCAAACGGAUUAUUACUUUUGCUGCAGCUAACAUAAAGGGAGUUUGACCGUAUUGGCUGACUGAUGCAGGAUUUCACAAGGGUCGGCAACGAUUCUUGUAAAACUCGAUCUCAAAUCAAGUAAGACUACCCGCUGAACUUAAACAUAUCAAUAAGCGGAGGA
rnacentral:misc_RNA from 1 species